rnacentral:rRNA from 1 species
CACCAAGGCGACGAUCAGUAGCCGGUCUGAGAGGGUGAUCGGCCACAUUGGAACUGAGACACGGUCCAGACUCCUACGGGAGGCAGCAGUGGGGAAUAUUGCGCAAUGGGGGAAACCCUGAUGCAGCAACGCCGCGUGAGUGAUGACGGUCUUCGGAUUGUAAAGCUCUGUCUUUAGGGACGAUAAUGACGGUACCUAAGGAGGAAGCCACGGCUAACUAC